AAAUGGGGGAAAAUAAUGUGCCCAAGAUCACAUGGCUAAUAGGAACAGAAUCAAGAUGUGAAGAGAUGUCCUUUCUACCAGACUGUGGGGCAUCCUUCUUGGAUCUGCCUUCUCCCACCAGACAGCACUUGGAUUUAUUUGUGUUGGGUAAUGACUUUAGUACAGUGUUCAGUAGAGAUGGUGAUAGUGGACAUCCUGGCCCUAGUCUUCAGUGGGAGUGCCUUCAGUAUCUCCUCAUUAAGGAUGAAGCUUGCCUUUUCAA